rnacentral:misc_RNA from 1 species
CACCACUCAAGCCUGGCUUGGUAUUGGGCGGCAGGGCUUCCCUCCGCCCCAAUUUCGCCGGCUGGACGACCCGUAUCUCAGCGUUGUGGCAUCAAAUUCGCUGGCGAGAAGGGCGGUCCCGCGCCGUUAAAAUUUUCUGUCAAGG